rnacentral:rRNA from 1 species
UCCGUAGGCGGGCGUCCAAGUCAGUGGUGAAAUCUUACAGCUCAACUGUAAAAUUGCCAUUAAUACUGGAUGUCUUGAAUUAGUGUGAAGUGGUUAGAAUGUGUAGUGUAGCGGUGAAAUGCAUAGGUAUUACACAGAAUACCAAUUGCGAAGGCAGAUCACUAACACUAUAUUGACGCUGAGGGACGAAAGCGUGGGGAGCGAACAGGAUUAGAUACCCUGGUGGUCC